rnacentral:rRNA from 1 species
GACAAACGCUGGCGGCGUGCCUAACACAUGCAAGUCGCACGUCCUCGUGGGGUUCGCUCCACGAGGGAGUGGCGGACGGGUGAGGAACACAUGGGUGACCUACCCUCCAGUGAGGAAUACCGGUCCGAAAGGGCCGACAAGACCGCAUACGCUUGGCGUGGUGAUGCGCGACAAGCAAAGCCGCAAGGCGCUGGAGGAGGGGCCUGUGUCCGAUUAGCUAGCUGGUGGGGUAAUGGCUCACCAGGGCGACGAUCGGUAGCUGGUCUGAGAGGACGAU